rnacentral:rRNA from 1 species
GUGAGGAAUAUUGCGCAAUGGAGGCAACUCUGACGCAGCCAUGCCGCGUGCAGGAAGAAGGCGCUACGCGUUGUAAACUGCUUUUAACCGGGAAGAAACCCCAGGACGUGUCCUGGGUUGACGGUACCGGAGGAAUAAGCACCGGCUAACUUCGUGCCAGCAGCCGCGGUAAUACGAAGGGUGCAAGCGUUAUCCGGAUUCAUUGGGUUUAAAGGGUGCGUAGGCGGAGCGUUAAGUCAGUGGUGAAAUCCUGCAGCUUAACUGUAGACUUGUCAUUGAUACUGGCGCUCUUGAGUGCGCUUGAAGUGGGCGGAAUGUGCCGUGUAGCGGUGAAAUGCUUAGAUAUGGCACAGAACACCAAUUGCGAAGGCAGCUCACUAAGGCGAUACUGACGCUGAGGCACGAAAGCGUGGGGAUCGAACAGGAUUAGAAACCCCAGUAGUCC